CAGAGGUCGAGAUGAGGGCAGUGGGCACUGGGCUGUACACAAACGUGCCAGUGGGGCUGACAUGCACCCGGGACGGUGCUGUCUUAUCCACCCGGUUCUGAAUGGACCCAUCUCUCUCCACACCGCAGGAAGACAACCUGUCUGGUUUGCAUUAUUGGGUCCCAGACAGAGACAAUUUCAGAAACAAGAUGGAUAGCUCAUGGGAAUGACACCCAAGGCUGAACUCUAGUCUCUGUACACAAAACAGAGAGAAAGUGUGUAUCGUCCGUGGGAAAGCUCAUUAUGGAAGCUUUCUGGAAUUGUCCAAUGCGAGGAG
ensembl:lncRNA